UGCCUUGGCACCAGGAACCGAUGAAGGACGUGGGAGGCCGCGAUAGGCCCCGGGGAGCUGUCAACCGAGCUUUGAUCCGGGGGUGUCCGAAUGGGGAAACCCGGCAGUCGUCAUGGGCUGUCACCCACUGCUGAACACAUAGGCAGUGUGGAGGGAACGCGGGGAAGUGAAACAUCUCAGUACCCGCAGGAAGAGAAAACAACCGUGAUUCCGGGAGUAGUGGCGAGCGAAACCGGAUGAGGCCAAACCGUAUGUGUGUGAUACCCGGCAGGG
rnacentral:rRNA from 1 species